rnacentral:rRNA from 1 species
AACGAACGCUGGCGGCAUGCCUAACACAUGCAAGUCGAACGAGAUCUUCGGGUCUAGUGGCGCACGGGUGCGUAACGCGUGGGAAUCUGCCCUUUGGUUCGGAAUAACAGUUGGAAACGACUGCUAAUACCGGAUGAUGACGAAAGUCCAAAGAUUUAUCGCCAGAGGAUGAGCCCGCGUAGGAUUAGCUAGUUGGUGUGGUAAAGGCGCACCAAGGCGACGAUCCUUAGCUGGUCUGAGAGGACGAUCAGCCACACUGGAACUGAGACACGGUCCAGACUCCUACGGGAGGCAGCAGUGGGGAAUCUUGCGCAAUGGGCGAAAGCCUGACGCAGCAAUGCCGCGUGAGGGAAGACGGCCUUAGGGUUGUAAACCUCUUUCAGCAGGGACGAACACAGACGGUACCUGCAGAAGAAGCCCCGGCUAACUACGUGCCAGCCGCCGCGGUAA